UGGUGGAGCGAUUUGUCUGGUUAAUUCCGAUAACGAACGAGACUCUAGCCUACUAAAUAGUUCGAGGAUAUAUUAUUUAACCUCGCCAACUUCUUAGAGGGACAGGUGGCGUAUAGCCACACGAGAUUGAGCGAUAACA
rnacentral:rRNA from 1 species